UGGGCGGCAGGGCCUAACACAUGCAAGUCGAGCGGGGGGAGCAAUCCCUAGCGGCGGACGGGUUAGUAACGCGUGGGAACAUACCCUUUGGUACGGAAUAGCCUCGGGAAACUGAGAGUAAUACCGUAUGUGCCCUUCGGGGGAAAGAUUUAUCGCCAAAGGAUUGGCCCGCGUUGGAUUAGGUAGUUGGUGGGGUAAUGGCCUACCAAGCCUACGAUCCAUAGCUGGUUUGAGAGGAUGAUCAGCAACACUGGGACUGAGACACGGCCCAGACUCCUACGGGAGGCAGCAGUGGGGGAAUCUUAGACAAUGGGCGCAAGCCUGAUCUAGCCAUGCCGCGUGAGCGAUGAAGGCCUUAGGGUUGUAAAGCUCUUUCAGAUGGGAAGAUAAUGACGGUACCAUCAGAAGAAGCCCCGGCUAACUCCGUG
rnacentral:rRNA from 1 species